CACCUACCAGAGUGCAGUCUUUUAACAUAACCUAAACGUGCUGUCACAGUGAUCCAGUAGUGCAGGCGUAGACGAAAUGUCCCGAAGCAUAUGAAAAUAGUUCAGCAAUCCACAGCGUCGUUUGCUGGGCUGCUGUAUACAGCAGAUUAAGUUUACGAAGGCAGCCGAGCCGCAGUUAUGGCCAAGAGAGAGAACGGGCAGUCCCACCGUUUACAUGAAACUACCUAUCCUCACCGGGGUUACCGGCGACGUAUGAGAAAGGACUUUUCAUUUCGAUCCUCACACGCAACUGGCUCCAGUUCUCUUUUUUUUUUCUUACCUAUUCUGAGUGACAUGUGUCAACUGUGUCAACUGUGUCGAUUGUGCGAAGCAACUGUACACGUUUUAUAAAUCGCAACUAAUACUCAAGAAAGAAGAGGACAAUCGAAUCUACCAAGGCCCGGGGAUUCGUAACGGGACAAUGUCUUAUAAUUGGAGGUAUUAAGCCGACCGGAAGCUGUGAAUUCAAUGAUUCCCAGGAGACCCACACUUACUGUCAACCAUUCAAAAAUACAUUCCCCUCACCGAUU